rnacentral:lncRNA from 1 species
CAUGAAUCUAUAUAACAAUGCAUAUAAAUAUAUUGAUCAUUUGAUCAUGUCAUUUAUCUGUAUCAUGAUCUUAGCAUUAAAGAAGAAAUAUGUAAAAUAAUGGAAAAACUAACUGAAUAUUGAAAUACUGGGAGAGAAAAGCUGAUAGAAUGAUAAGAUAUCGUUAGCUCUACUCAAUAAAAUAGAUAUUGAUAUAUACCAAAUUAGGCAAAUAAGAACUUUCAAGUUUGAUGCUAAAUUUAGCCCGACUGUGUUUUGAAUUCUUAUACGAUAAAAUAUAGAAAUUGUUUUGAUAGCUUUAAUGUGAAACUAGGUAUCAUGAAUUAUGACAAUAAAAAUGACAGACAAUAUGUAAACCAGUACAAUGAAUAAUCAAAAGAGCUAAAUACACAAAAACACAGGCCUGCAGCAAUUCCAUCUACAGUAAUAUUGAACAUCCUUUUGAAGUGGGCUCACAGGUAUAACUUUUAAAUAUAAGAUUUCGCUUUUUUUCUUCUAUAAAUGAACUUUAUCAUUUACUUAAUAGAAAAUUAAAAUAAAAUAAAGGGCUGCGCUUUAGCGCAUGAUACGCCCAUUGCUCUUUAAAAUUCCCCCUUUUUUUAUGAAUAAAGCCCCAUAAAUCCAAAACUUAAAAUCUGAAAUUUAUAAAAAUUGAAAGGGAGCUUACAUCAAUAGAUAUAAACAAUUCAUUUAAGUUUCAUGGAAAUUGGUGAAAGUGUUUUUGAGUUAUUGUCCGAGGUGUGGAUGACGGACGGACAGACGGACAACGGUAUACCAUAAUACGUCCUGUCUAAAAGACGGGCGUAUAAAAAUUGGGUUACCAUUCAUUUAAGCUCACAAUCUGCCUUGAACGAAACUUGCUUUUUUGUUCAGAUACUUUUUUCUGUUGAACUAUUAUAAUAGGAGAGAAAAAGAGUAAUAUCAAAAUAAAAUAUUACAGACAUUGCUUAAAUUUUACAGUUGUUUAGUUCAUUGUUUUGUUAAAGUACAGCUUAUUUGAAAAAAAAUAACAAGGGAGAUAAUUUGGAGCUUUUUCAAUGAAAUAAACAUAUAGUCAUCUGGGGCCAAAACUAAUCAGUUUUAUUGGUUGAUUUUUGUACAAUAACAUAAAGAAACAACUUAUAGUGAAAUAAUUAAAAUUUGUAAUGAAAAAAAGAAAUGUUUAAAAUUUUGCUAUCAUUUUGGUACCCUCUAGCCUCCUUAAGGAUCUAGUUGACCUGUUUUCAUUCAGGGAACAUUGUUUGCAUGUAAACUCUAUGGGUUGAGAUUAACCUACUGAGUCUUUGAACUAAUACAUUUUCACUUUGACUCCAAUCAAUACUUUGAUUUUUCUAUGUGAUUAUGGAAAAACUGUUUUUCAUAUGGGAGAUAACUCUAUAUUUGACUUGAUUAAUAACCAUACAAAUACUUUGCAGUGGCACACAAACACAUAGAUAAUAUACAAUGAUUGUUUCUUGAUUACAGUUAAUACAUCUUUUUUUCACAGUGAAUAUGUUUUAUCAAAGAGUGUUUCCUAUGAUUUUACCAAUGAGAAAACAAAUAAUUUAAAGUCAUAUAGUAAAAUAAAAUAACUAUCAAAUUUUCAAGUACAAAUCAAGUACUGUAAAAUACAGGUUGCUAAAUAUUACAAUAAUUUUAGAGCAACAAAAUAGUACUGAAGUAUAUUUCCAGUACUACAGAUUUUUGGUACAGACAUAGUACCUAUGCAAAAUUACCACAAUACCUUCCAUAAAUAGGCAUAUAAAACAAAUAUAUAAAUUCUCAUUUCAAAAUUCUUCACCUAUGCAUAAAAACUGAUACUAAUAAGUACUGAUUGACAUAACCAACAAUUUUUUUUUUUAUACUAAAUAUUUCAAUUUUUUUUUUAUGUGGUAAUGUAAGCCAAAAAGGUGUCCCAUGAAAUUGUGUCCUCUAGAACAUUAUUUCACAGUUCAUCUGUGAAAUUUUGUUCAUGGGACAGAAUAUCACAUUUGUAAACUAUAAUAUAGUGUCUCCCUUAGUGAAAAAUUGUCCCUAGUACUUGGACAUAAUUUCAUGGAUGCUUUAUAAAAAUAUGUCACAAAGGACAAUAUUUCAUAGUGUAGCUAUUUUUUUCUGUCCCUAAAGAAGGGAAAUAAUUUAGAAAUCAUUGAAAUGUUUUAAUCAAUUAGUUAAAUCAUAAUUGAAAUUUAAAUAAAGACAACACUGAUGUGAACAAAAUGGAAAGUGAUGAAUAUAAACAGCUGUAUAAUUAUGUGUGUGAUGGUCAAUACCCUCCAGAGUUUAAUAAUAAUUAAAGAAGAUCAUUUAGAAGGAAGGCAAAGCAGUUUCAAAUUAAAAACAAUGAAAUGUAUUAUAUACAUGUUGACAAAAAAACACAAGAGAAAACAUUAAAACUUGUAAUUCAUAAGGACAAAUUGAAACAAGUGGUGACGCCUCCAAGACUGAAACGUAUGCGCAAGAAGAAACGGCAAACAGGCAUUUAUGAAUAUUAUUCCUGACAUUAUUGGUCUUGUUAAAAAGGACAAUUCAAAGAUAUUAAAACAAUUCAUAGAUUCCAGUCCUAUUGUAUAUUUUUACAAAAACAAAUGUCAAUUUUGUCUUAAAUUUUUUUGUUAAAUAUUUUUUUUUUGGUAUUAGACAAGACUUUUAUACAAUAUGGACAUGAUUUCACUAUGAAAAAAUGUCUAAUGAAGGUCACAAUAGAAAGGGACACUUUUACAUAGAAGUGGACAAUAUUUUAUAAUAAAAUUAUGUCCUGGACCAAAUUUCAUAGGUCAUAUCUGUGAAAUUUUGUCCAUGGGACAUCAUUUCAUGGGGGACUCUAUUUAAACUUACAGUAACAGAUCAACUUUUCAAGGGAGCUGCUUAAUUGAAAGUGAAAUAAGGCAUUAUUCAAUAAGUAUAGUUUUUAGGACUUUAAUAUCAUAAAUAUGAUUUAAGUUUUUAAUAAAUAAUUAAAAAUUUACAAUAAAAUAGAUAAAGACUCAGUCUUUAUCUAUUUUACUGUAAAUGUUUAUCUCUUAAGUGUAAAUUUUUAUCUCUUAGAGAUAAAAAUUAACAUGACAAACUCGUAAAUAAUAAAAAAUGCUCUGCAGGGUGCAGAUUUAUGCAACCGCAGAGACCGAACCCUGAAAAGUUGGGGCAAGUAUGGACACAACAAUCAAGCCUAUUAAAUACAACUCUGAAUUUGGAAUGUGAUUAAAUAGUUGACACAGAAUGAAUGUGGUUUAAUAAGAACUUAAAAAUUUUGAAUUGGACAUUUACUUUUUAUGGUCCAAAAUCUAAAUACAUGGUUAGAUUCAGCUUAUCAAAGAACCACAAGAAUUCAAUUUUUGAUGAAACCAAAUAAAGUUCAAAUUUGGACCCUAUAGACUUCUAUGUGAACCAAUUUGAUAACAGAGCCCAAAUAUCAAAUUUAAUUUUAGACCCUUUGGACCUUAAUGUAGACCAAUUUGAAAACAGGAUAAAAAAAAUAAAAAUCUAAAUACAAAAUUAAAUUCAGCAUAUCAAAGAACCUAAAGAAUUCAUUUUUUGUUAAAAUCAAACUAAGUUAUGUUAAUGACCCUUUUGGCCCCUAAUUCCUAAACUAUUGGGACCAAAGUUUUCAAAAUCAAUCUUAACCUUCCUUUUGUGGUCCUAAACCUUUGUUUAAGUUUCAUAGAUUUCUAUUUACUUAUACUAAAGUUAUUGUGCGAAAAAACAAGAAAAAUGCUUAAUUGGCCCUUUUUGGCCCCUUAUUCCUAAUUGUUAGGUCCAAAACUCCUAAAAUCAAUCCCAACCAUCCUUUUUUUGUCUCAUAAACAUUGUGUUUAAUUUUCAUAAAUUUCUAUUUACUUUAUAUACUAAAGUAAUUGUGGAAAAACCAAAUGUCUUCACUCUUAAUAGGACAACGACAACGUAAUUCCAAUAUACGUAUUAAAAUACAAUACAUUAACUUUUAAUGCAAUGAACUAGUUUAAAACAAACUUAAUUAAUGUGAGAAAAUAGAAUUCACAAUAAACUAGUUAAAAAAAGUUGACAAUAAUAUCUGUCGAGCUGAUUGACCCAAUAAAAUAGAUUUGGACAGGAAGGGACUAACUAUUCAAAGACAAUUUGUAUUUCCAUAACCAACUACAACACACCAAGUUUUUUGGAAGAGCAUUCUUAUUUGCAUGAACUAUUAUAUAUUAGAAUUAAACAUCUAAUUUAUCAAUUAAUUAAAAGACUAAGUAAACAAUUAAAUGAAUCCCAUCUGUGGUUACAACGCUGUUCUGUACUUUGUUCUUUUGGCCUAUACUAGCUGGUUUGUACCUAUCUGAAAGCACAGAAAUCAGAAUCUAAACACUUUCUCUACUCAUGUACAUCUGAUUAUAAACAAAACUAACUACUGAAUUAACAUGAUUAAUAGUUCAAUGAAUAUAGUUGCCAUAAUUUAUAUUAAAGCUAACUGAUAACAUACUGAAAGAAAAUGUAAUUUUUUUGUUUGUUAAUUAAGUAAUCAAUUGCCAUGAAUUGACUGAAUUCAAUUAUGCGCCUAGAAAACGCUUAAAACAUCCCAACAUCAAUAUAUACAACCAAGGCUUCCUUCCAUCUAAAUAGCCAUUAUCAUAUUUUUCAAUAAAAUUGGUGAAUAUUUUUGUGAUCUUGUUUUUUCUUUUUAAAGUUUCUCAUAUAUUAAAACUAAAACAGUAAAAUAACAUUUAGCUUAAUUAAUAAAACACAAACAAGUGCCAUUCUAUUAUGAAUUAUGAGAUAAUAUCAAACAAUUAAUUACCGGUAAACAAUAUUUUACAUAAUUUUAAAACUAUAUAUAUUUAAGAUUUAGCUAUAUACAAAUAAGAAAUUUGUUCUCAUACAUAAAAUAUUAAAGCAGGUUUUAGCAACUUCCUCAUGUAGUUCUUCAGUUCUGAAUAAAAAUAUAAACUUUUCAUCAACAGGCAAGUUAUAAAAUAGAUCAUUAUGUUUUGCUGCGCCACUAUACAAGACAACAACAAAAUAAGAUAAGAUCUUUGGGUUUUAUUCUGGGCCCUUCAUUUAAGUAGGAAGUAUGCAAUAAUUAGAUUUAAGACCAAAACCUAACAGAUGUUUUUGAUACAAAGUUCCACCAAAAAAAUUUUGAUUAUGAAAAUAUAGAGAUGUGAGAUUUAUACAAUGUACUCUUCAAGAUAAAUGUAAAUUAAUGAAAAAGGAAAUUCCUUCUUUUAGAUGCUGGAAGAAAAGUAAAGCAAGUGCAACAACACCAUUAAACAAAAAAUCUUAUGAAUUUCCUAGAAAACCUAUUAGAGGAAUACCUCUUUUUUUUGGAAUUGCAGGAACCAUGCUGUUGGAACUGCUGGUAUAUUAAAAGCUGUUCAAAUUCAUAAACCCAUAAUUUCAGAUACUGAAAAA